rnacentral:rRNA from 1 species
AUUGAACGCUGGCGGAAUGCUUUACACAUGCAAGUCGAACGGCAGCACGGACUUCGGUCUGGUGGCGAGUGGCGAACGGGUGAGUAAUGUAUCGGAACGUGCCCAGUCGUGGGGGAUAACGUAGUGAAAAUUACGCUAAUACCGCAUACGAUCUAUGGAUGAAAGCGGGGGAUCGCAAGACCUCGCGCGAUUGGAGCGGCCGAUAUCAGAUUAGGUAGUUGGUGGGGUAAAGGCCACCAAGCCAACGAUCUGUAGCUGGUCUGAGGGGACGACCAGCCCCACUGGAACUGAGACACGGUCCAUACUCCUAGGGGAGGCAGCAGUGGGGAAUUUUGGACAAUGGGCGAAAUCCUGAUCCAGCCAUACCGCGUGCAGGAUGAAGGCCCUCGGGUUGUAAACUGCUUUUGUACAGAACGAAAAGGUUUCUACUAAUACUAGGAGCUCAUGACGGUACUGUAAGAAUAAGCACCGGCUAACUACGUGCCAGCCGCCGCGGUAA